rnacentral:rRNA from 1 species
AUGGUUGGACUCAUAUGGAGGGAGCCAGGAGUACAGGGGAAGUCCGCCGGUGCAAGUUAUCAUUGGAUUGUUGAACACUUUGGGGAAUGCCCGGCUGAUGCGGACGAUGAAACAGUGCAGUAGUAUACCAGGGCAUACUUGUGGUAUGUAGUCAGCCGGACUCUUGUCUCUGACGGCACUGGCGUGAACGCUUCCUUUAUGUGGCUUAAGUUGUUUGCUGGGUGGGAGCAUCGACUCAGUUGGGGUACGGCGGCGUUGGCUUGUUUGUAUCGUCAGGUAAGUAGUUUUGCUUAUAAUAUUGUUCUCCACCGACACCAAAGCAAACGCCAAUGGAACCAACUUGUCACCAUCGUCAUUAGCCACGGGGAUCAACAAUGUGCCCUUGAACUGGCCGGUGAGAAAUGUGCCAUUCACGGACAUAACUGGCCUACAAUGCUUGAAGGCCCUAAUGCAUGGCUCAAAAGUCCAGAAUGCACGUCCAAAUAUACGAACGUUUGCAUCGUUGUAUAUCCUUGUUCUCACGCCAUCUGGCUCCACCAUACAGUACAUGCCAGGAUUUUCUGCCGUCAUCGCUUUCGACACCAUCACGAGGCGGUUGUAUGA